rnacentral:lncRNA from 1 species
UCCAUUUACUCUAAGGGAUAAUUGCCUUAUACUCCUCAUACAUUUGAAAAUAUCCGAUUUAUCUCUACUUUUUCUUUCUUUCUAAAAUACCCCUCAUAUGUUUCACCGUUAUUGCAAAUUACCCAUGCAGUUAUCUCCUGUUAAGUUAAUUUGAGUUAAAUGUGAGUUAAAUAUCUACCAUAGUUAAAAUUAAAAUGUCAAUUUUGCCCUUAACUUAAGGGCAAAUAAGAAAGGUUGGUGACGGUAGAGGGGUAUAUUGGAAAAGACCAAAAGUCAAAACACUUUUUUUGCCCCUGAUUUUAAGAGCAAAUAAGAAAGACAGUGAUGGUAGAAUGAUAUAUUUGAAAGGGCAAAAUAGUAAUUUUACAGAAAUAAUAGAGUUAUUUAACAGAUUUUAACUCUAGGUAUAUUAGAAAUAGGUUGGAACGUAAGAGGAGUAUUUUCAAUAUUAGCCUUCUAAGAGAGGUAAAUCGAAAAGUCGAGAACAUUUCAGAGGUAUAUAAGCAAUUGCCCCUACUUCUAAAUAUAUUCUAAUUUUGUUUUUGUAUGUGAGAGAGAGAGAGAGAGAGAUGUUUUUU